GAUGAACGCUGGCGGCGUGCCUAAUACAUGCAAGUCGAGCGAACAGACGAGGAGCUUGCUCCUCUGACGUUAGCGGCGGACGGGUGAGUAACAUGUGGAUAACCUACCUAUAAGACUGGGAUAACUUCGGGAAACCGGAGCUAAUAACGGAUAAUAUAUUGAACCGCAUGGUUCAAUAGUGAAAGACGGUUUUGCUGACACUUAUAGAUGGAUCCGCGCCGCAUUAGCUAGUUGGUAAGGUAACGGCUUACCAAGGCAACGAUGCGUAGCCGACCUGAGAGGGUGAUCGGCCACACUGGAACUGAGACACGGUCCAGACUCCUACGGGAGGCAGCAGUAGGGAAUCUUCCGCAAUGGGCGAAAGCCUGACGGAGCAACGCCGCGUGAGUGAUGAAGGUCUUCGGAUCGUAAAACUCUGUUAUUAGGGAAGAACAAAUGUGUAAGUAACUAUGCACGUCUUGACGGUACCUAAUCAGAAAGCCACGGCUAACUACGUG
rnacentral:rRNA from 1 species